AGCAGAGAUGAUGCCAGAGGACAGUGGACAGACAGUUUGACAUGAUGGACUACAGGACAGGACUGCUGCUUUUAACUGUCUGCUGGACAGGUGUUGAUGGUCAGACUCUGACACAGUCUGAAGCAGUGGUUAAAAAUCCUGGACAAUCUCACAAACUGACUUGUACAGUUUCUGGAACCUCUCUCACCUACAUGGCCUGGAUCAGACAGGCUCCUGGAAAAGGACUGGAGUGGAUCGCUUAUAUCUACAGCGAUAGCAGCACUUAUUAUCCUCAGUCAGUCCAGAACCGGUUCAUCAUCUCCAGAGACGACAGCAGACAGCAGCUGUAUCUGCAGAUGAACAGCCUGAAAGCUGAAGAUUCUGCUGUUUAUUAUUGUGCCAGAGGGGGUUGUUUUGACUGU